AACUUUGCGCAGUGGCGAUAUUGUAACCAAUGAGGUCUAAACGAGGUGCAAUUAUUGCUAGUUGAAAACUUAUACCAAUGCCCCGCUGGAGAGACUAGAAAUAGUCUCUUCUGGCAAUUUUUGAAAGCCCCCUAGGGGG